rnacentral:rRNA from 1 species
CGGGCUUGCUCGGAAAUUAGUGGCGAACGGCUGAGUAACGCGUAGGUGACCUACCCCGUAGUGAGGAAUAACUGCCCGAAAGGGUAGCUAAUACCUCAUGUUGAGACGCUUUCAUCAGCGUCUCCAAAGCAGCAAUGCGCUAUGGGCGGGGCCUGCGUUCGAUUAGCUAGUUGGUGAGGUAAUGGCUCACCAAGGCGACGAUCGAUAGGUGGUCUGAGAGGACGAUCACCCAGACUGGGACUGAGACACGGCCCAGACUCCUACGGGAGGCAGCAGUAGGGAAUAUUGCGCAAUGGGGGAAACCCUGACGCAGCAACGCCGCGUGAGUGAGGAAGGUCUUCGGAUUGUAAAACUCUUUUGCUAGGGAAAAAUGACCUUGUGGCUAAUAUCCACGAGGAGUGAUGGUACCUAAAGAAUAAGGACCGGCUAACUUCGUGCCAGCAGCCGCGGUAAUACGAAGGGUCCAAGCGUUGUUCGGAAUCAUUGGGCGUAAAGCGCGCGCAGGCGGGUCAGCAAGUCAGAUGUGAAAUCUCGAAGCUCAACUUCGAAACUGCGUCUGAAACUGCUAGUCUAGAGUGUCG